rnacentral:lncRNA from 1 species
AGUGCUAUCAAAAAAGAUACAGAGUAGAAGUAUAAACACAUUUUUAAAGAGAGGAAAAGGACACGACCACCACAAACAGGACAUCCAGCAUACUACUGACAUCCAGCCUGGGUCUAAAUGGGGCGACGAUAUGUUUGGUCACGGAUGUAGAUGUACAUUUCACCUCCAUUGUCACAGUGACACACAGUGUCACCACCAUGGUUCACAUUAUACAUGUCAUUACAGUUGUUGUGGGACGAAAUGUGUGAGAUCACCUAUUGUGGGACGAGAUGUGUGAGAAGGGGGUAAGUAAAUUAUAACAUUAUCACAGUGACACACAGUGUCCCCACCAUGGUACACAUUAUACAUGUCAUUACAGUUGUUGUGGGACGAGAUGUGUGAGAAGAGGGUAAGUAUAUUAUAAGAUUGAGUGUCACAGCGACACACAUUGUCACAGUGACACACAGUGUCACCACCAUGGUACACAUCAUACAUGUCAUUGCAGUUCUUGUGGGACGAAAUAUGUGAGAAGUGUUAGAUUGUUAUAACCGAUUAUAAUUUUAUACGCCCGUUAAACUUUUGAUGGGACGUAUUAUGGUAUACAAAUGUCCGGCGUCCGUCUGUCCGGCGUAAACAUGUCGCAACGUAACUUGCGAACGACUCUUCCAAAUUUCAUGAAACUUAAUACAGUUGUUCCUUAUGAUGGUCAAACGAUCUAUAUACUUUUUUUUUUAAAAUAAGAUUAAAACUUUUUGAGUUACGGGACUUUGUUACUAAAACAGGGAUGUGGUUUUUUUUCACAUGUCGCACCGUAUCUCAAAAACAAUUUAUGAUUAUUGCUUAAAACUUUUCACACUUAUUAGUAAUAUUCAUAUUAAGAUUAAUAUACUUUUUGGUGAUGAUUCAAAAUUUAUUUUAUAGUUAUUAUUGAUAUUUUUGUUAAAAAAAAGUGGGUUUUCACAAAACAACGGGCGUAUCAUGCGCUCAUGGCACAGCUGUUUGAGUGUUAUAAAUUAAGUGUGUUUUUUUUAUAUAAUAUGUCAGUGACCACUGCGGAUAGUCAACUUGGAAUUGAAAGUCCAUAGCAAAUACAAGUUAUUUCAAGUAUAUCUAUGUUCAUAUUGUCUUGUCCCAAGUACAUAUGAUACGAUCUAUUGUAUAACCUUUUUCAUGUAUAAGUGUCUUGCGAAAAAAAAUAUGAAACGUAAUUCUAAGUCUCCUUUAUCAUUUCAGGUGAUGUAUGGCAAAGGAUGUUUAAUUCAAUAAAUGUUAUUUGAGG